UACGGAGGGGGCUAGCGUUGUCCGGAAUUACUGGGGGUAAAGCGUGCGCAGGCGGCUGCUCAAGUCAGGGGGGAAAGCCCAGAGCUCAACUCUGGAAUUGCCUUUGAGACUGAGUGGCUUGAGUACGGGAGAGGUGAGUGGAAUUCCCAGUGUAGAGGUGAAAUUCGUAGAUAUUGGGAAGAACACCGGUGGCGAAGGCGGCUCACUGGCCCGUAACUGACGCUCAUGCACGACAGCGUGGGGAUCAAACAGG
rnacentral:rRNA from 1 species